UACGUAGGGGGCAAGCGUUGUCCGGAAUCAUUGGGCGUAAAGAGCGCGUAGGCGGCCCGGUAAGUCCGUUGUGAAAGUCAAAGGCUCAACCUUUGAAAGCCGAUGGAUACUGCCGGGCUAGAGUCCGGAAGAGGCGAGUGGAAUUCCUGGUGUAGCGGUGGAAUGCGCAGAUAUCAGGAGGAACACCGAUAGCGAAGGCAGCUCGCUGGGACGGUACUGACGCUGAGACGCGAAAGCGUGGGGAGCAAACAGG
rnacentral:rRNA from 1 species